rnacentral:rRNA from 1 species
AUACGUAGGGGGCGAGCGUUAUCCGGAAUUAUUGGGCGUAAAGAGUACGUAGGUGGUUGCGUAAGCGCAAGGUGAAAGACGGAGGCUUAACUUCGGUGAGCCUUGUGAACUGCGUGACUUGAGUGCAGGAGGGGAAAGUGGAAUUCCUAGUGUAGCGGUGAAAUGCGUAGAUAUUAGGAGGAACACCAGUGGCGAAGGCGACUUUCUGGACUGUAACUGACACUGAGGUACGAAAGCGUGGGGAGCAAACAGGAUUAGAUACCCUGGUAGUCCACGCCGUAAACGAUGAGCACUAGGUGUUGGCGUAGAAAUACGUCGGUGCCGAAGUUAACGCAUUAAGUGCUCCGCCUGGGGAGUACGCACGCAAGUGUGAAACUCAAAGGAAUUGACGGGG